UACGUAGGGUGCGAGCGUUAAUCGGAAUUACUGGGCGUAAAGCGUGCGCAGGCGGUGAUGUAAGACAGGUGUGAAAUCCCCCGGGCUUAACCUGGGAACUGCAUUUGUGACUGCAUCGCUGGAGUGCGGCAGAGGGGGAUGGAAUUCCGCGUGUAGCAGUGAAAUGCGUAGAUAUGCGGAGGAACACCGAUGGCGAAGGCAAUCCCCUGGGCCUGCACUGACGCUCAUGCACGAAAGCGUGGGGGAGCGAACAGG
rnacentral:rRNA from 1 species